GAUGAAGAACGUAGCGAAAUGCGAUAAGUAAUGCGAAUUGCAGAAUUUCCGUGAGUCAUCGAAUCUUUGAACGCACAUUGCGCCCGCCAGUAUUCUGGCGGGCAUGCCUGUUCGAGCGUCAUUUCAACCCUCAAGCACAGCUUGGUGUUGGGACUCGCGUUAAUUCGCGUUCCCCAAAUUGAUUGGCGGUCACGUCGAGCUUCCAUAGCGUAGUAGUAAAACCCUCGUUACUGGUAAUCGUCGCGGCCACGCCGUUAAACCCCAACUUCUGAAUGUUGACCUCGGAUCAGGUAGGAAUACCCGCUGAACUUAAGCAUAUCAAUAAGCGGAGGA
rnacentral:misc_RNA from 1 species